ensembl:lncRNA
CCACAGCUUUCUGACAGAGAACAAUCCAGCCAUAGCAACAGUUGCUAAGUUCCCUUGCCUAGACUUGAGCUUCAGUUCUCACCAAAUCUCCACAGCUGGAAACAUAUUUACAUGCAAUUACUGCUCAAUAAUUAGUGUGUGGAAACAAAGCUUCCAUGAUCAAGUAUGUGGCCCUGGCUGGCUUCUUGUGGGGGAGCAGAAGGAGGAGAGUGAUUCUUUCUCAGUAAGAUGAUGUCCAGAAAAGUCCUGGAAGCCAUUCUGGGAAUUAUCAGUGAGAUGGCAUGCACAGUAGAAAAUGGCAAAACCAAGUAACGACAUAGGUAAAAGCAUUUACAAUAACCCAGCCAGUAAUCCUGACAUCAAACACACAACACGCUCUUCCGAGCUGCAUCGACGUAAGGCUGUGCUGGCGCAGGCAGGAUAUGCCGGCGCAGGCAGGAUCUGCCAGCUCAACAUCUCCUGAUAACACUGAGAAGAAAGACAGGAGGGAAAGCAAAAGCAUCUAUCGCAAUCAGCAGGCAACGCACAGGCCUAUUGUGUCCUGAUGUUCUAUUGUCGAAAGCCUUGGCUGGAGAGUAAGGCUGCUGCAGUCCCACUGCAUUCAGAAACUCAGAUGCAAAAUGCAUGUAGGACUUAUAAAUAUACCCUGAAGUACUCAGCUGCUUAGGGAAUGACACCAAGGUGACCCAUAGGGUACUAUUCACACAUUCUGGCACAGAGAGAAAAACAGAAAAUGCUUUUCAGAGGAUGAGCUGAAAGAAUGCUGUUGUAUUGCUGUUUUUUCCCCAGGUAUUUUCUCCUGCGUGGCCAACAGUGCAAGGUGGAUAAAUUGGAAAAGGGGCACAAACACAGAAGUGCAAGAUGGAGAAGGGUUUAAAUGUAGGGACAGAAAGCCUUCAGGUUAAAUCUUCCCCUCCUCCUUGCCUUUUCUGUCAUAUAUCUGUGAUCUAAAUGAUAUCCACUCCAAGGUAAGGGAAGAACAGGUACUUGAAAGGGUAAAACUGGGAGGCCAACUAAAUUAUUUUGCCUUAUGGACAGUAUAAAACCGAAGCUGGUCCUAUUUGCCAGAUAAAACGUCUCCAGUGGUUAAGUGCCACACAGAACUUGCAGCUAUUGGGACUUUGCAGCUUUGAGCUGCAAAGUCCUUCCUGAUUAGGAGAGUUUGUUCUAUGUUUAAGACUUUGAAUGAAGAGGAUAGUGAUGACAGAAUGAUAGUGGAAUAACAUUUCAAGUUUUCUGAGCAGCAGACUACAUUUAGUAUAACAGGCAACACACCACAGAAUCUCCAUGUGCAUGCAGAAAUUCAAUAAAUGUGUAUUCACAAUCCA